rnacentral:rRNA from 1 species
UACGGAGGGUGCGAGCGUUGUCCGGAAUCACUGGGCGUAAAGGGCGCGUAGGCGGCCUGAUAAGUAGGGGGUGAAAUCCUGCGGCUUAACCGCAGGGCUGCCUUCUAAACUGUCAGGCUCGAGCACAGUAGAGGCAGGUGGAAUUCCCGGUGUAGCGGUGGAAUGCGUAGAGAUCGGGAAGAACAUCCGUGGCGAAGGCGGCUCUCUGGGACGGUACUGACGCUGAGACGCGAAAGCGUGGGGAGCGAACAGG